rnacentral:piRNA from 1 species
UGAUCAGUUGCAAAUAUGAAGACUUCUCUGC